ACAAUUGCCGCCAUCUUAGUUGUCGAAACUGCAUGUGGGAAAGAUUUUAACAUUUUUACGAAAUAAAUUAUUACUUGUAUAAGUCAGUAAUCGACAUUGCGCAUUUUUCAUCUGUAGAGAAGUGGGAAAAUGGAUAGACCAAGUUCCCACUCUCAAAAGGUUCCUUACGCACGCAAAGAAGGCCGGAAGUCACUCUUUUCUAAGAUGAAAGAUUCUGUGCGAGAUGUGCUGUCACCAUCUUGGUUGUCCGGUCUGGUUACAACUGUUAAAAAAGAAUCACCACCUAAUACAACAGCUGUAGAAACAAGUCAGCAGUUCACCACUAGUGAUGCUAGUUCCAUGUCAGUCCAACAGAACACCCCAUCUAUGCCGGCUGUAUUUCAAGGACAAACAAUGCUUAAUGGUCAACCAAGAACACUUGAUUUUAAUAAUCAAAGAGGAAGCCACUCCCCCUUCUCUCAAUCCAAUCUACCUCCGCCUAUGUCUGAGUUUACAUCUGCACAGUUGCCACUUAAUCGAUUUACUGAGAAAACGGACAGUAUUAUGGCACAAGAAGAUACGAUGUCUCAGAGGAGUGACUCUUCGAGGUCGACCAGUGGCUGCUCCUCCAUGGCCCCCCAGACUGAGAGUGGGGCGGGGCGUGAGAAGAGGAAGGUCAGCCUCGAUGGCAGUGACAGCGGCACCAGUCCACUGCAGCAGGGGGAACCAGCUAGCAAACGACAGAAAUUGCAAGUAAGCAUCAGUGCCCACCAGCCAUUCUCCAGGCGCCUCAGUGACACAUUCACCGCUGGGUCAGGCCACACAGUCGGGAGUGGGAGACCGGCAUUUAACACCAGGCUGUUUGCAUCACCCUUGAAUGAGACUUCUAUUCUGGGAACCAGUUUCCACGAGUCCAGUUUUUAUCCGGGGAAAACUACCUUUGGGGGUCGAUCAUCUCUGUCAUUCCGGAAGAAGAAAGUAGAUCUGAAUCAAUCACUGCCUAGCAGGCUGUCCGUGCCUGUGAAGGCGUUCAUGAAGGCCAGGCCCCGUGUGAACCCCAGCCAAGAGGCUGUGACCAGCUCCACCGCCAAGAGGAUCCUGGAGGCUCUUGACAAGAUGCCUACACCACUCAAUGAUGCUAGAAGAAUACCAAUGAUGAUGCCUAGACAGUGGACAGAGAGUCCUUCAUUCUUCUCAAGAGAUAGGACUUCCCCUCGCUCAGGGCCCCCCACACAGAAACUGAACAUCAGCUCCCAGGCAUCCAUUAGUAGGAACAGGCAGGUCACCUUCGCCUCCAGUGACACCAGCGUUCAGGACAAGACUGAGAGGGCCCCUGCCCGGCACCAGGACACAGUGAUUUUAGACCCACAGGGUGGCAAUGCGUCCGGUAAAAUGAAGAGGGAUAAAUCGUACCACAGGGGCAGUGCCUCGGUCAAGCCAGUGACACUGGACGAGGAGGAAACGGUAAUUAUCCCUGACCUGAAGACGGACUUCACUCUACCAGUGUCCUCUUUCUCAUUGCCCAAGUUUACCUUCGGCGGUCAGCAAUCAAAGGGCUCCAUCACAAUACCAGCUACUGGGCAGACCAAGUCAAACACUUCUAAUGCCACUUCUAAUGCCACUUCUUCUGCUAACAGCAUUUCCAUGGCUUCACCAGAAAAAACGAACAUGAAUUUCACGUUUUCCUCUCCCAUUGUUGAGACUGUACCUGUGAACAAACCAGAGUCUCCGGAAAAAAGGGCAUUUGGUGGAUUUCAGUUUAGCUCUCCUUUAAGUGUUGAUAAACCCGACAAGACUGUCAAUCCACAACAACCACCAUCAUCAGCCUUCAGCAGUGCUGCAGUAACUACGUCAACAACAUUUGGUAAACCUCAGUCGUCAUUCUCCACUCCUCCCAGCAUGGAGUUCAGCUUUGCAGCGGCUGCCAAACCCAAGACAAAACCAAAUGGCCCUUUUUCAGAAGACAGCGGGGUCAAUGGUAUUUUCGGUGCAGCCAGUGAGCUGAAACAAGGCAGUGUGAUGGACAUUUUAGGGGGCUUCUCAUCAUCAAAGCCUUCAUCUACUGGCAGUUCUCAAACUGCAAGUGAAAAGCCAUUUACUGCGACCCCGAUAUCUGUGCCAGGUAUUGGGUCAAAGUCUGACUUCGGUGAAAGUGUAGCCAGCAAAACUGCAGAAACAACAUCAGCCAGUGAAAAACAGUCAUCAUGGGGUGGCAGCUUUGGAAUUGUGCCUGGCAACUGGAUAUGUAAAAUAUGCCUCAUUCAAAACAAGAAAGAAGCUGAGACUUGCGGUGCCUGCCAGUCUUCUAGGCCCUCAGAUAAAGACUCCAACACUGCUGUCAAGGCAACAUCCCCACCAAGGACAGACAGUUUAUUUGCCAAGUUUAAGCCUGCAAGUGGUCAGUGGGAAUGCGAGGUGUGCUUACUACAGAAUAAACCAGAUGACACGAAAUGUGUAGCCUGUCAGACCUCAAAACCUCUGAAAGUCUUCAAGCAGCCAGCGGGUGACUGGACAUGUGACACAUGCCUCGUGGUCAACAAGGAGACUGCAGCCAACUGUGUGGCCUGUACCUAUGCACGACCUGGGCCUCCCAGGACACAGGCUGUACCAAGCUGUGCAAAAUCUUUCACGCUGUCACAGAACAGUGGUAGUAUACAGGCCAGCAGUACAGGUGGCUUCACAUUCAACAAACCUUCGGUCAGCGAGCCUGCGCAGUCAGGCUUCACAUUCAACAAGCCUGCGGCCAGCGAGCCUGCACAGUCAGGCUUCACAUUCAACAAGCCUGCGGCCAGCGAGCCUGUGAAGUCAGGCUUUACGUUUCAACAGCCAGCAACUGUGUCGGAUAAAACUGAACCUGAACUAAAAUCAGGUGGCUUCAAGUUUGAGUCGAGCUCAAGUGUGUCUUCUGUCACAGGUUCUGGAUUUAAAUUUGGUUCUGAUAUUGCUGUUAGUAAAGUGGAGGAAAAGUCUAACUUUGCAUCGUCAGGUGGCUUUAAGUUUGGUGCUGAGAAUUCAAAUCAAUCAACAAGUGUAAGUUCUGGAGGUUUUAAUGUAGGAAACACUGAGAAGAAAUCUGACAUUGCAGGCUCUAGUGUGAAAAUGGGGGGUUUCCAGUUUGGAAAGUCUUCUGAUUCAGGUUCAAAUAAGGAAAACAAACUUAGUGAAGGCACUGGUGGAUUUGUGUUCGGAAGUAAACAAGACACUAACAGUGCUGUGAAAGACCCUGUUCAGGCCAGUGUUUCAUUGACUUCAGGGUUUUCAGACACGGUUGUUCCAUUCACAAACAUUGAUUCCACAAAAACAAAUAGUUUUGGAAGUUUCACUGCAUCUACAACAUCUAAUUCAGCAUUACCUUCAAGUAGUUCUACCUUGGGAUUUUCCUUGAGUUCUAAAACCACUGCAGAAAGCUGUUCAGCAUCACAGGAAAACUCAAAGCCAGUGUUUGGAGGCUUCAACUUCACUCAAGCAAAGUCUGACCCCACUCUGGCCCUUGCCAAGACUGCAGGUCAGGGGAACUUCACCUUCCAAACCUCCAAGCCAACUGAUAACACAGACACUGGGGCCACUGCAACAAAGAGGAACAGAGAUGAUGAUGGGGGAGAGACCACCGCCAAGAAAUCAUUCAGUUUUGGUCAGGCCACCAAUGGACCCACACCAAACUCCCUGUUCCAGUUUGGAGCUACAUCCAGCACCUCAAGCAAUUCAACGGCUUCCACCCCAAGCCUUUUUGUGUUUGGUCAGAAAACUUCAGCAGCGUCCUCGAGUACUGUGACCACUGGACUGUUCACUUUUGGAGCAGCCAACAAAUCAACAUCAUCUGGUACACUUGGUGGAACAAGUAGUACUCCAUUUGCUUUUGGGUCAUCUGCAAUGAACUCAACGUCAGUUCCCACUGCUACCCCAUCAUUUGGGCUGACAAACAGUUCAACUGCUACCCCGUCAUUCGGACUUACAAACAGUUCUACUGUGCAGCCAUCAUUUGGGCAAACAAACAAUUCUACUGCCCAGCCAACAUUUGGGCAAACAAACAAUUCUAUUGCGCCACUGUCGUUCGGGCAGAAAAACAGUUCUACUGCACCUUUUUCAUUUGGGACGACCAGUAGUUCUACCACUGCCCCGUCAUUUGGACUGACAAAAAGUUUCACUGCUGCUGCACCGUCGUUUGGGAUGACCAAUAGUUCUGUAGGGAGCUCUUUGUUACCAUCGACAGGAACAUCAGCGGCUGCCACCUCGGGGCUAUUCCAGUUUGGUCAGGCCAAUAAGCCGGCCGUCACCAGCUCGCCAUUUGCAUUUGGAGUUACAAGCAAUGCACAGCCCAGCAAUCCUGCUCCAGUGUUUGGCAAUGGUCUCCCGUCAUCAUUUGAUUUUGGAGUACAGAACACCAACAAUGCCAUUAGUUCUUCCUCGGCCGUGUUCAAGUUUGGCGCCUCUCAACAGCAGGCCCCCGCAGUGACGCCCUCCUUUGCUUUCGGGGGUCAGAACCCAAGUGUUGGUUCAGUGUUUGGAGGUAAUGCCCCUUCUACAACGCCAGCCUUUGGAGCGACUCCCUCAGCUUUUGGAUCGGCUAAUCCUGCCGGCAGUGCUAACCCUCCAUCAGCAUUUGGAGACUACUACAGAAUGUUAGCUAACACAGGAAGUUACAACAAAGAAGUUACACAAAGUAGAAGUGACAUUGCUAAACCAAGCUUAAAUCUCAGAAAUAUUGUGGACACUAAAUGCUCUUCUAGUGGUCAUUUUGAAACGGAAGGGAACAGAUCUGUUGACGAUUUCUUUGGAACAUUGUCUGAAAGUCCUUCUGAAAAUUCAAUGUCUGGGAUGGCAGAUGAAGAUCAUUUAAGCUGUACAGACCGAAAAUUCCCCGUGGAAAUGCAUGAUGCUUCUUGUCAGACAUUGACAGAUCUCCCUUUAUAUAUUUCCACCAGGACCAAUCACAGUGGUGUUCUCAAUGAAACUCAUGAAGCAGUUACAACUGAACAUGAGGGGAAACCAAGGGAUACAAGAGAUGCCUCUAAUCAGACAGAUGAAAUUGAAUGCUGUGGACAAGAGUUAAGAUAUAAACCAAACAAUGGACAAAAUGGGCAUGACAUUGGGUGUGAAAUUGAAAGCGAGUCAAAAUAUAGAAAAAUUAUGCCAGAGUCAAAUGAAAUGGUUGGAAAGGAAAGCGAAUUUAAAAGUAGAACAACAGUUGUGCCAAAUCCAAACGAAGUAGCCAUACAAACACCUUUGUCAGCUGGUUUGGUGCUGAUCAUUUCUCCAAUGUCUGUAAUUCAGACAGGCACUGUGACUACUUCUGCUGUUUCAGUGGUACUAAAAUCACUGGACUCUCCAGUCUCAUUUUUAAAAGUUGCUGGUUUAGAAGUAAUUCCAUCUGUGCAACAGCUGUCAACCUUGGAUCAAGUUAAUUAUAGAAAUAUUUAUUCCACAAGCACCAUGCUGUCAGUUCCAUAUCUUUCUGCACCCAAAACUGUACCUGGAGAAAACAAUCCUUUGACAUUUCCUGAUCCAGGCAUUUUCUCCAAUCAAGUUUGUGGUACUCUGACAUCAAAUGAACUGAAAUGUGUGAACUCCCUUCAUGGACCUGUGUUUUCUCUACUUCCUCUGAAUUACUAUGCAAACAAAAGGCCUGCCACUUUAGCAGGUUCAGCAGCAUUUUCUGACGUGUCGGCAUCCAUUCCUCCAGCUCAUUUGUUCAGUGGCUUUAAUUACAGGUACUCAGAUCAACUGCCAAGUAUGUCAUACCUGCAGCCUUCAACACAUCCUUUGGGUACAGUUAAACAGUCAAACAAUUAUAUAGUCGGCACGAAUCAUGCCUCAGUUGCUACUCCUUGCAUUCCUCCAAUGCAUCAGGUUCUAUCUAACUCGUCCAUUCCUCCCAUCAAUAAUUUCUGUACUGUUAAUUCCCCUCUUUUCAAAACAAGUUUGCUAUCUGCAGUUUCACAGGACAUUACACCUGUUACUGUCAGACCAUUUGAAUGUAUUUCUCCUUCACAGCCAAUCCCUGUAUCACAUUUAGCUGUCCAGUCCAAUUUUGCCAGUGUGAUGUCAGUAUUUACAAACCCUCUUUCCAAUCCCUUUAAUGUUGUAGCACCAAAGACAUCCUGUUUGACAAGUGCUGUUUGUUCUAGACCUUUGUUUACAAACCCCAAACACCCAUUUGUUUCAAACCUUAGUUCUAUCAGGCACGAUAAUGUAGCAAAAAAUACCUCAAAUUUUGUUCCAAAGGUUUUUGGUCCAUCUUUGCCUAGUUAUAACCAUUCAAAGUCAAACAGUGCAAGAUUAAAUUGUCAAACAUUUCAACAGUCCAACAGCCCUCUUUUUAGUUGCAACCGCCCUGUGGUCAGUUUUGGGCCAUUUUCAAAGAGUGAUUCAUUAAGACAAAAUUAUUUUAUCCCACAGCAAAUGGGAACGGAUCCAUCAGUUUUGCAGCCACAUUGGCCUUUUUCUAAAAGCAGCAAUAUCCCACAAAACCAGAGUUCAGUGAUUGUUGGUACUAAAGCAUUUUCUAGUCCACAUUAUUGCUCAAACAAGAAAGUUUACAAUGGAAAAGUUUUUGGAUUGUCAAGCCCCUGUCAAAACUUCCAGACAGUUAUGCCCAUGACAAUUUUUCGUUUCCACUCUCCAACCCCAGUGAAAAUGUUGUGUUCUGGAGGAAUAUUUGAGGUUGGCAAACAGCCACCAGUAGACGAUAUUGUAAUGGAAGAUCCCUCAAUAGAUUGUGGUAAGGAUGUGGCAGGUGGUGCAGAGAAGUCAGUAGAAGAAUUCAUAAAAUUUGGAAAGAAAGUCACAUUCUCAACCCAGACUGAAAGAGAAUAUAAAACUGCACAAAAGUCUGUGCUGAAAACAAGGACCAAGGAAAUGGUUACUGCAUUUGGUUCCGCUUCGAUGGACUGUGAAGGCGAUGACCCUGAUGAGGUUUGUUCCAGCACAUCACAUCUGUCCCAGCCCAGGCCCAAUAAGGCUACCUCUGCAGUGUUUGGAGGUCAGAAAGAUUUUUGUGAUUUGGAGUCAGGUGUGGUCCUAGACAAAAAGUCAUUUUCAAGUAUUUCUACAUCAUUCAACUCAAUUGGUGCAGACAAAGUCGCAGCUUUGCCAAUAGGAAAUGCACUCUUGAAUGUUAUGAAAGAAACUACUGCAUGCAAGGGACAGUUAUUAGGAGGUUCUACACAACUGCCUGUGCAUGUUAUGCCACAGGCUCCUCUAGUGGUUUCAUGUGUAUCAUCCGAUGCCAACAGAGUUCAGUCAGGGGUGUUCAGAUUCACUGCAGUUCCUGUAACGACACAUUCAGUCAUCAAACUAACCUUGAUGCCUGAAAAAGUAAAUUCUACAGAGACAAAAAAGAAACCCAACACCUAUGUGUCUGCUUUUUGUGGUAAGCCAGAAUUGAAAAAGAAGAAUGCAGACAUUUCCAAAGAAUCAUUAACAGCGUUUUCUCAGGAACUGAUUACGCAAUCAUCUAGCAUGAAUUCUGCUCAUGCAACUGAACGCUCUUCUAGCUCUGUCUCAUCGUCAUCUAGUGCAACCUCUGACACAAGUGGAAGUUCAAGCAGCACAUCAUGCUCAUCGGACUCUGACAGUUACCAUAGCCUGCUGCAUUCGUCUUCUUCCACAGAGGACGCUGACGGAAUGGAUGUCGCGGCAGAUGUUUUCAUAAAAAGAGAUGACACCCCUUCGACGUUUGUUUCUGCGUUUUCAGGCAAAGGGAAUCGAUCUUGGAAUGCUUUGCCUUCUGCUGAGCGAGACUGUUUAGAAUUGCAUGAUAUUGUGCAUGUAGUUCAGGAACACAUGGUUCAGCUGAUAUCCAUUAAAUGUCAUGCUUAUGAAGUUGGAGAAGGGAUGUGUGACCAGGAAGGAUUAUGGGGAAUGUAUUGGCAUUCCACAUUGGACAACCUGGAAUUUUCAUCAUCAUUUGUUACCAGCCCUUGGAUCAUACAUUGGCCUUCUUUUCUUUUUGGAUUUGGUUCCAGUCAGCCAUCUGCCCCCAUCCAAUCCAACCCUGUGUUCCAGUUUGGAAAGUCUGCAGACAACGCGGCUGCCCCAGGGACCCAGUCUGGUUUCAUCUUUGGGGCCAAUCCAGCUGGCCUUGGUGCCACGCCUAGUUUCAACUUCUCCGCUCAGUCACCAGCGGCUGGAGCCUUCACUAUUGGUGCUGGUGGCACUUCAGACAGAAAAAUUAAGAAAGCGGUGCGGAAAAUCAGAAGAUGAUCCUAGCAGACUUUUAGGAACUGAUGUACAUAAAUGUUUAACACAUCAACAGGUCGGUAUGGAAUGCUCCAAUUACUUUGCAGAGGUCUACUUCUGGCUGCGUUUUAGACGAGGCCUCUUCGUCAUCUUUUACUCAAGUUUUACUCAAGUGCAAAAUCUGCAGACAACGCGGCU